AGUGAACGCUGGCGGUAGGCCUAACACAUGCAAGUCGAACGGCAGCACAGUAAGAGCUUGCUCUUACGGGUGGCGAGUGGCGGACGGGUGAGGAAUACAUCGGAAUCUACUUUUUCGUGGGGGAUAACGUAGGGAAACUUACGCUAAUACCGCAUACGACCUACGGGUGAAAGCAGGGGAUCUUCGGACCUUGCGCGAUUGAAUGAGCCGAUGUCGGAUUAGCUAGUUGGCGGGGUAAAGGCCCACCAAGGCGACGAUCCGUAGCUGGUCUGAGAGGAUGAUCAGCCACACUGGAACUGAGACACGGUCCAGACUCCUACGGGAGGCAGCAGUGGGGAAUAUUGGACAAAGGGCGCAAGCCUGAUCCAGCCAUACCGCGUGGGUGAAGAAGGCCUUCGGGUUGUAAAGCCCUUUUGUUGGGAAAGAAAAGCAGCAGGUUAAUACCCCGCUGUUCUGACGGUACCCAAAGAAUAAGCAUCGGCUAACUUCGUG
rnacentral:rRNA from 1 species